rnacentral:rRNA from 1 species
UACGGAGGGAGCUAGCGUUGUUCGGAAUUACUGGGCGUAAAGCGCACGUAGGCGGCUUUGUAAGUUAGAGGUGAAAGCCCGGGGCUCAACCCCGGAAUUGCCUUUAAGACUGCAUCGCUUGAAUCCGGGAGAGGUGAGUGGAAUUCCGAGUGUAGAGGUGAAAUUCGUAGAUAUUCGGAAGAACACCAGUGGCGAAGGCGGCUCACUGGACCGGUAUUGACGCUGAGGUGCGAAGCGUGGGGAGCAAACAGG